GAUUCCUUCGUUUCUGGGUUUUUGUAUGUUAUGAGAUGGUGCGGUUGUGGAUCGGUGUUAUUUCUGGAUCUUAAUAGAAUGCCUAGGGUAUUGAAUUUUUGUUGUACGAUUUUGUGAUUAUCUGUUCUGAUUGAUGAUUUGUUCCUCAGAUUUGGGAGAUGAAGAUGAUGCAAGCAGGUAUGAUUUUGGGCCCAAUAGAGCGAUCUUCAGGUCAGAAGCAGGCACCUGGAGAUCCUACUCUAUUGCAUGACCUGAAUGUACCGCACGAAGGCACUGAGGAGUGCGAGACUCCCACUGCUGAGAUGCUUUUCACUCCUGUGAGUAAUUGUUUUGAGAGUUUUCUCGUGUCUGUAAUUCGUCGAUUGGACUGGCUGUGUGUAUAGGAUAAUGAGUGAACUUCUAUCGUAAUCCUAGCUGUUUAUGUCAUUGGAUUCAGUUUAUCUACAGGGAAAGAACUUUUACUUGCAUGUUCUGGUAGAGAUAGGUGUGGUAGUGGCUCGAAAUUAUGGAACUAUGAGAUUGGUGAUUGAGCUGUUUGGAUGUUCUCUAAUUUACUUUCACUUGUUGAAUUGUAGACGCCUUUGAAUAAUCUGAUAAGUUGUUUCUGAUAAUGAUGAGUUACCAGCACACUUAGUCAAGGAUUCUUUGCAUACGAAACUUUGAUGCAGCAGUUUCUUCUGCAGCCAAAUAGUUGAAUAUAGUUUCGUGAUAUUCCUGAAUAAUAGUUGAUUGCUCGAUGAUUUUGAGUGUAUUAUUUGUCACUACUGUUCCGAGUGAUUAACCAUUCAUUCAGCUGAGGAUGGGACUUGAAUGUUCUUUCUUAACAAUCAGAUAUUUGUUGUACCCAGAAUCAUAUCAGUUUUUCCUAGACAAAGAUUGUAUCUCAUUCCCGAAACUGUAAAAGAAGAUUAGGAGUGUUGGCAUUUCUUUAACUAUCUAUUAAACUGAUUAUAACUACAGUUAGUCUAGCUAGGUUGUUUUGUCUUUCUGUAUCUGUUACUGCAUUGUGAGUCCCAUUAAUUCCUUGGAACUAUAAGCGUGCUUAUCUUCCAUCACAUAAAAUGGGAUUGUCUAGACUUUGUUUUUGUUUUUGCUUCUGAACUUUACCUCGACUUUACCUCGUUGCAGCAGUAGGUUCUCUUGCUCUCCAGUCUCCACCAUCAGCAGGUUCUCUCAUCCAACAUUAAUGAGUUUGUUUUGUGGCUGUUCUUCACUCGUGAUAGCUAUAGGUCAGGAGCACUAUACCAACAGGUUCUCUCAUCUUUCUCACUCAGUCUCACUCCCGUCUCUCUCAGUCUUCAUCAAAUUCAGGGAUAUAUGCAACCUCUCCUCCGUAGACCCCCCCCUCAUUAUCGAUCCCAUAUCUUCCCUGCCUGAUUUCCAGGAUUCAUAAGCUCCGCCCAUGGCCAGAUUCCGUUUCUCUAUGAUUUCUUAUUUAUAUCUUAGGAUUAUGAGGUGGAGUAGAACAGUUGUUUUCCUUCUUUCUUCACCUACAUCCUCUCUUUGGAAUCCUCUUUCCAGUUCAGUUAGUUUACAUAGUUGGUUAGUCAUGGAAUCCAAUGUACCACUAUAUGAAGUUUGAUCCCUACUUCACAAUCUACAGUUUUAGUGAGGAGAAGCUAAUACACGACAUGCCACCGUUUCUAUGCAUAUACAGGUUGCCUAUUGGUGAGCCAGAUCCAAGACAUGCAAAACAUUGUUAUUGAAGUGAAGGAUUGGAAGCUCUAAGAUGAAUAACCCAAUUGCCACCUUUGUUGUGAUUAAGCUCCAGGUUUACUCUGAUCCAUUGGCCCUUCAAUAUUUUGGGUAUCGUUUUGGUUUAAUGUCUUGCGGGUUGGCUAGACUAGAAUUCCUGGUUAUUAUGGUAUUUGGUUGUUGUACCGUUUGGCUGAUAAAAUUUGGCUCACUGAUUGGUUUUGGAUGGACUUGCUAUGGUUUCCACAUUUGGACUCGUUUCUGGUCAGGAAGACAUGUUCCAUGUGUGCUAGACUAGGACUGUCAUUGGUUUUUGCAUAAAUAUAUCUCCUGCUUAGCAUGUAAAUCAGCUUAUGUAUCCAGAAACUAUUGUCUUACUGGGGUGGAUUGGCAUUUGAGGGAGUCAACCGGAGAAUAGCUAACAUACACAUUUGAUGAUUUAGUAAACGGUUUAGGUGAGGAAGCUAGAAUUCCUGAUUGGUUUGGUUUCCAUAUUGGUUUGACCGUGGUAUCAAGUUUGCUAUUUAUGACAGAAAAAAACGUUUUCAUCUCGCAUUUGUUUGCUGGGUUCGUUUACUGCCUAAUAGAAAACUUAGAGGGAUUUGAUUAUAUUGUAUUUUGCUUGUGAAAUAGCUUGUAUGUGUAGAUUGUGAAAUAGCUUGAUGGUUCAGUUUUGGCAAAACUUCGAUUUGAGUACAAAUCUGAAACUCUAUACAUCUCUCGAAUGCUUGCUUACCAAUUGAAGUUCUGUAUUGCAUAAUUAGACUGAAAUUGUGUGCUUCACUCAUUAAUUGUUUUUUUGUAACUGAUCAAACCAAAGGGAAUACGAUCUUAGCCCACACCAAACAUGGUAGUGCGGCCUUGAGAUCCACUGCCCAACUUCGCCUUUUGUUUUAUUAUUCAAAACAGCAUCAUAAUGUGAUGAUCAAAGAAAUAGGCAAUGAGUAGAGAUGAAAUGCAGGGCACUUGGAAUGGGUUGAGAGUAUUUAGCUUCACUUGCUUUCCCUUGUUUUGUGUUGAUUGUGUGGGGCUUCAGUGGAAUCGAUACAAACUAAAGAGAGCACGUGCCAAGAGACCACCAACCAAUUCCUGAAAAUUACGAUUGGAUGUCAGAAGCACAUAAAAUUGCUAAAACGCUUUCCCAAUACGUGUUGAGCUAGAAUGCAGAAAAAUGAUUUGAGCAAUAUUUUGACAUUAACUGCAGAGACAAAUUGUUUCAGCUUUCUUGCUCAAAGCUAUUUCCGCUUUUGUAUUACUCAAUCAUUCCAUUAGAAGACAAGUCUUAUAUUGAAACCAUAAUUGCAGUGAUCCUAAACUUCCCAACAAACUGUAAUGUCAAAUAGAUUUGUUGAGGUUUGUUUCUUGUUGCUGGAGUCUUAAUAUUAUCCAUGUUAUUUAUGCAUAUACUUGAAUUGUGUUAUUCUGCCUUAGAGGAGGUGAAGCUGCAAAAUGAAUUUUUGUUUCCCUUAUUAGUUUUCCCCUCAUUGGUUACUAAGACAUUAUCAGUAUUUUUAUAGUGACGUCAUACAUGCCUCUCAAUUUUGGAGGAACGAUUAUCUGGUUGCAAAGGGAAAGAUCAGAAAAGAAUAAGCAUGCAGAUGCUGAUGCAUUUGGUUGUUCUUGGGGAAGUAUAGCUAAUAAAUAUGAUCUACUUUGGCGACAACAAAUGAAUAGGUUAGUGAACUUCUUUCAUUAUAAAGGGAGAUGCACGUCUCUGUGUCUGACUCUUGGUUGUGGGAUAAUGUAGGAGGUGACAAUGGCUCGACUUGGUUCAGCAACAGGUGUAUACAAAUUUUUGGUGAAGUAUUUAGUAACAGUUGUAGAGGUACUACCUCUUGACACUGAUAUGGACCAUCAUUAUACAGCCCGACACCUAUGGUUCUCUUUGUUUGUAAUUUUGUUUUACUGUUGUGGAGUAGAAAUGAUGCUUUUAAAAUUUAUGUCUCAGAGUUUUAAUAAUUUCAUGGAGUUCGGGAGGUUGAUUCUCAUGUCUAUGAGACCUGAGAUAUACAGUGUUCACGAUCCUUAUGUUUGGUCUUGCUGUGUUUUUAAGAAUAAGAAGAAAGAAACAUGACAUUCAUGUACUGGAUAAAUUGUUGAUGUCUAUCUCAAUGAGUUCACAAAGUUUAUUACCUUCAUCAGGUACUGUCGUUGAUACUUAGCAAAUUUGCAUUAAUUUUGGUGUGAAUUGAUGGUGGUCUUCUUACCCUGCAAAUGAAUCUAAAGAGAUUAGAGGUAGGUGUUGUCGUGUCGAUGAUGUUUUAUUGACUGGAGCUCAUAUUUAUACAAGAUUGUAGGACUAGAGUCGUAACUACACUAAUACCUCAUAUUUAUCUACAGCUAACUACUGCACUGUCCUCUGUGCAAUAAUAGUUAUGUAUAAGUAUAACUCUACGCGAAUAAACACACAUUUUUUUGGAAGAAUAAUAUACACACGAAUAACAUAUAAUACUAUGAUAUUAAUCCAUACAAACUAACUUUAACUGUUUUUAUACUGAUCAUAUUUAUGUUUGUCGCAGCGUGGUCUUUGCAAGCUCUCCAUUCUUUAUGUCAGCUGAGGCUGCUGCUGCAGUAUCAGACAACUUUCCAUUCUGACGGCCGGAAAAGUCUACCCAUUUUUGUUGAAACUGGCGUCAUUCCUCAGGUUAGCUGAAAUCCACAGUUGAGGGUUUAAUUAAAUGAGCUUAUGUGUUGUUUAAAAUAAGCUGUGGAAUCAUGCCUUACAUAAAUAGAUCUGUGUAACUUUUAUCUUCGAAUUGUCCUAAUUACCAUGCAGUAUUCAGAUCUAUAACUCAGAAUAGUUGCAUUAAUUUAUAAAAAAGUUAUCACAGUUGAAAAAGUGGUUUACAGCUGACUUUCUUCCGUUGCAUUAACACUCUCAUGACCCCAUACUAUUUUGGAGGUUUCAUAGCUUUUUUAAUAUUUUUAGGUAUUUGUUUCUUGUUGAGAGCAUAUAUAAAUACUCUGUAAGAAUUGCUAAGACCAUCAUAGCUGAUUUGACGAGCAAUCGGAUAUUUUGUGCAAUUUCUUACACCUUUCCUUAGAGCAAUAAUAACUUCUAGAUCACUCAAAUCAUCACCCUCUUCUUCAAUCUCUUCAAUUAUCACUUCUCGAUCAGCAUUCGUAAUUCCCCCUUCACUGUUUCCUGUCUCAAAAGUAUCAUCCUCAAUCACAUUAAUCUUUAUUCUUUGAUAAACAAAAAGAGGUUUUUCUAAUGGUUCCUUUGAUGACAUUUGAGACUCUCCCCUGACUUACAACAUCAGUUGGGAGCUCCCCAUGACUUAUAACUUCAGAUGGAGUGUCUUCUUCCUCUAAACAAAUCGUAUCCACGAGGCUAUGGUUGCCAUCAUUAUCUGUCUGCUCCCCCUGAAUCACAGUGAUAGGAAAGUAGGUCUGUGAUUCAAAAAAGGUAGCAUCCCGAGUGGUGUAAACUCGUUUGGUCGGAGGAUGGUAGCACCUAUAGCCCUUCUGGGUUGAAGAGUAGCCUAUAAACACGCAUUUCAAGGCGCGCGGAUCUAACUUGGAGCGGUUGGGUGCUGAGUUGUGAAUGAAAACCGUGCAACCAAAUACUCGAGGAGGAAGAUCAGCUGAGAAACUGGCAAGAUGGGGAAAAUCUGCCAGAAGAACAUGUCGAGGAAUCUUGAAGUCCAAGACCCUACUGGGCAUGCGAUUGAUUAGGUAUGUGGCUGUUAGAACAGCCUCUCCCCACAAAUGCUUCGGAACAUUGUGUGUAAACAUGAGUGAGCGAGCAACAUCGAGUAAGUGUCUAUUCUUGCGUUCGGCAAUGCCGUUUUGUUGAGGGGUGUCGACGCACGAACUUGCAUGAAUGAUGCCAUGAAGGUGUAAAAAAGAGCCGAGGUCUUUGUUGAAGUAAUCGUGGGCAUUGUCAGUUUUCAAAACCUUGAUGUGAGUCUGAAACUGGGUAGCUACCAUUUUGUGAAAUAGCUGACAAAAUAUGUCUGUUUCGGACUUUUCUUUCAUUAAGAAAGUCCACGUCAUUCUUGUGUGAUGAUCAAUAAAUGUUAUGAACCAACGAGCCUCAUUGAUGUUCUUGACUUUCAUAGGUCCCCAAAUAUCGCUAUGAACUACACUAAAAGGUGUGGUAGGUCGAUAGCCGAUUCUAGGAUACGAAGACGCUUAUGCUUCGCAAGUUGACACACAUCACAUCUCAAAUCUUUUGAACCUUUAUUCUGAAAUAAUGCAGGUAAUAAUUUUUCAAGAAAGUAAAACUGGGAUGACCAAGACGGAAGUGCCACAAUAUGGCUUGAUUCUCAAUGUGUUCAAUACUAGAAACAACAUUAGCACUACUACUAUGGGCUUUACUGGAACUGUCCUCAUCCUGAGUUCCCUUCAACAGGUAGAGACCAUUACGCAUUUCACCACUUCCAAGCAUCUUUCCAGUCUCUACCUCCUAUAACACACAAUCAGGAGAGCGAAUUUUAGCUUCACAAUGAAGAGCAUGCUUUACUUGAUGAAUAGAGAGAAAAUUGCAGUCAAGUUUAUGCACAUAAAGUACUGAACAUAGAGUAAGAUCCUUAGUAACCCUAACAAUGCCUAUUCCUUUUAUCGGUGUUAUUGAGCCAUCGGCAAUCCGGACACCUGAGGUUCUAGGGUAAGGUUUUAAGUGUUGUAUCAACUCCUUACAACCAGUCAUAUGGUCUGUAGCUCCGAAAUUAAGGAUCCAAAUAUUCUGAGAAUUUUGACUAGAACUGUAAGCAGCCGAAGUACCUUAUUUGGCGAACAGACUAGACAUGUAAGAUUUCUUGGGAUCGGCUUUCUCAGUAUUCAUGAGUUGUGAAAAUAAUUUCUUUAGAGUCUCUAACUGUCCAGCUGAAAACUGUGUCGUAUCAUCAGUUUUGGUGGCAACUGUGUUUGCACGAGACUUCUACUUAUUCAAUUUCAGUCUGGGUCUCCAUCCUUGUGGUCCACCAACUAUUUUCCAGCACUCCUUUGUCGUAUGAAAGGGUCGUUGACAAAGAUCACACCAUUUUGAAGUGGCAGCAGAAGUAAGAUUUUGUUUCCCCUUGUUAUGGUUGUUCUUAACGAAGAGAGCCGUGGUUGAGGUCUCAGUUUUUAGGGCUGAACUGCUGGGUUCAGAGGUUGUCUUCGUCUCUGUAACCAUCAGAUGACGCCGACCUUCUUCUCUCAAAACCUCAGCAAACGCCUCCUUCAGACUUGGAAAGGGUUUCGUUCCCAUAACCCUGCUUUUCACAGCACCUAGGUCUUGAUUUAGUCCAAGAAGCAGUUGAACUGUCCUCUUCUUGUCCAUGAAUGUCCGGAAUGUUUUUGCAUCAUUCGGAGUAUCCCACGUCUGAGCUUCAUACAAAUCAAGUUGAAGCCAGGUUCGCACCAGCCGAUUGUAGUACUUCGUAGCACUCAAGUUACCUUGCUUGAAAUUGUAGAGUUUGGACUCAAUUUCGAACAAAGCAGAUGAGUUGUCUUGCGUGGAGUAGGUUUCUUUCACAUCAUCCCAAAGCUCCUUUGCAGAUUGAUGUAGAAGAUAGUUGUCGCCGAUAUCUGGUUCCAUCGUGGAGAUGAGCCAGAACCGAACUUGAUUGUCAUCAUUGUCCCACUUGGUGAAGGCAGCUGAGUCGGAUUCUUCUGGUUUGCUUGCAAUACCAGUAAGAUAUUCCCCUUUCUGUUUCCCAGUGAUGAACAUCCGGACUGACUGAGACCAUUGGAGGUAGUUGUUACCAUUGAAUUUCCUAAUGGACGACUAAGAUCUUUGGAGGUAGUUUUUACCAUUGAAUUUCCUAAUGGAAGCUCCUCCAGAGCCUGGUUCAGAUCCGAAAUUGUUGUUGUUGUUGUUGGCUGCCAUCUCAGUUUCGGAGAUGACAGAAGAAGGAUGAAUGGUGGAAGAAGACGAGUGUUUUGGAAAGGAAGAAGGUGAAACAAUCUUGUUGUCCGUGGUCAUGAUGAACCAACAGUGAUUCGUCUGUGGUCAUGGUGAACCAACGGUGAGAUUAACACCAACGGUAGCGGAAGAUGUAGCCGGCAGCUCUAUUACCAUAUUGAAUUUAUGAGAGAAAACUUUCAAUUGUAUUAAGAUAUGAAGGAUUAUAUAAGGGUUACAUAGGUUUAUAUAGAGUUAGGAUAGGAGAAUCCUUCCUUAACUAUAAAAACUCUAAGUACUAUUUCUAUACUAAUAAAAAAAAAUAUUGAAACUUAUUUCUAUAUUAAUAAAGAAAAUAUAAUAUUUUUCAUUCCAUGCAUUAUUCGUCGUAGAUUCUUAUGCACACACUAAAAAAUUGCUAGUAUAUAUAUUUUGCAGCAUUAUGUGCUGAAAUUUUAGAAUUUUUGUUGCGGAAUCCAAGAAGAACAGUGAAGUCAAGUUAAUUUGAGGCUAUUCUUUGUUUUCAUUCAAGGGUCCCUGAGGACUCUGAGAAUUUGGAUGAUAUUGGUGCCUGAACAUGCUAGUUUGAACAGAAGUCUCGCAGUUGGCUAGUUUUUUUGUAUACUAGGGUCUAGAGGUAUGAAUUUGAUCCAAGUAUGGGAAUAUGUUAUUUCUUAUCUGCAGGUUCUGGAGGCCAUAUUCAACAUUUAGUGUCUUCUAGUUCAUUGGCCUAAGGUUUUGAUGGCUUUUGAAAGGUAUGAUCUUUUGCUCUUUUGACUUCAUGAAGUAAUUUGUUAAAUUUUCAUUGAUUUUUAAGCAAAAGACUUAACCUCUUUCUAAAAAUAAAAAUAAAAAAGUAAACGACGUAACCUACUGUGUUGCUCUCACUUUUAUUCAGUGACUUAUCUAUUUAUUUAUAUAUAUGAUGAUGAAAGUAAAACAUAAAGAACUCAAAGAGAAAUAAGAUGAUAAAACGCUAAUAUGAAACCUUGAGUUAUUUUCUCUUCCGCACCUUGCCUCAUAGCUUCUUCCUCUUCCUUCAAUUUCAAAAUUUUCACCUCUCUGAGAUUUUGCUUUGCCAUAAUCCUUCAAUUGCUCUUGCCUGUCAUCAGUUUUCCUCUUCGUCAGCCAUCUUGGUUCUAUUACCAUUGCCUUCCGCUUGUUGUUGUCAUUGUUUCGAGUCCGGCUCUGUCUUGUCUUCUUCUUCUCCUUUGUUCCAUUACCAUUUACCACAUUCCCCUUCUUCCAGUCCCACCCCAAACGCAUUUGUAAUAACUCAGAAGACUAUAGUAGACGAUGGUUGCCAUUGUUACACAUUGAUGACGACUCUGUUUCACCGUUGCCCUCAACCUCCUCCUUACUGCCGUCGCAUGAUGCCGUCGCAUGACAGCAUGCCAUUAUAGAGCUCAUAAGGAAGAUUCAGUUGAUCUCUCUUUCAUACCUUGCCUCGUAGCUCCUUACUCUUCUUCUUCUUCCUUCAUUGGCAGUUUGGCACACCGGUCAUUUGCAGAAUCCUUUCUCUCUUUUCUCUGAGAUUUUGCUUUGCUAUCAUCUGUCGAUUGUUCUUAGCCUCCCAUCAACUUUUUCCUUUCACAGCCACCUUGGUUCUAUUACUAGCUUCUCCUUGCCGCCCUUGUUGUUUGAGCUCGAGGUGGCUGUCUAUGAAGAAUAAUUUUUAAUAUGAAAUUUUUAGUUCUUCUCUCUUUCACGCCCCACCUCAUUAGCUCCUCCUUAUUAUGUUCUUCAUUCGUUCGUAAAUUCAGAAUUCUCUCUCCUUUCUCUGGCCAUCAAUUUUUCCCUUCAGCGAAAACGAAAGUAGUAUGUCGGCAAACAGUCCCCCAAACUGAUAGAUACACAGGAGAAAGGGGAGGAAUUUAGUGGGACAUAGUCAUGGGUGCAGCGCAGCCACAAGAAGUUGUAAAUCCCGGUAACAAAUAUCGAGAAAAGGGAAAAGGGAUAAAACCGCCGAAACUCCUUGAUAUGCGCCGAAACGUUUCGGAUUCUCGGAACCGAAAUCGAAACGCCACCGCAGACGACUCGGUUAAUUUGAAAAUCCUCGGAAACCAAAAUACACGCCGAAACGCAUGACGAAACGCAAAAUGUUUCGGUUUCUCAAACCGAAAUCGGAACGCGAGAAAUUACCGAGAAAGAAAAUUUUACGAUACGUUUCGUGUGAUGAUAUUUCGCGAUAAUUACCCGAUAUAUUGACUUUUCUGCGAGAUUUGACCCUAUUUUUAUUUUAUUUUUAUACUAGAAAAUAGCGGGAAAAAGAAAAUCGGCGCCCGUAGCUUUCCGCUCUAGUUUGGGAGAGACUCGGGAAUCUUGUCAGCCGCCAACACAGCCACCGGAUCCUGCUAGACAAACAACAAUGAUCUCGAAAUCUUCACAAGAGGAGAGUUAGUUAUGAAAUUUUGAGGUAUGAUUAUCUUUUUGUACAUGGCAUUAGUUUCCAGAGAAUUACGGACCCGAAUUCAUUAGCAAUUUGUGAACAUUGAAGCUGAUACUGCAACACUGAAUCAGCAAGUGCUGGCCGGUGCUAUAGUCAAAGUAAAUCGUCAGCUAAUCCUUCUAUUCGUUGUAUGGUGAUCAGCCGCAUAGCAAAUUCAAUAGUGUCAGUCCCCAUAGCAAAUUCAUUGCCAGCAUAAAGGUACUCUACAAUCUUUCAACAAUGUGGAGAACUUUUAUGGUCCGUCUGUAUGUGCUGUUAGUUUGUGAAUCUUAUUGAAAAUAAUAGUUAUUUAGGUCUAAGUUCAAUGCUUUAUUGGUGAAAAUUUGACAUAACUAGUCUUGACAAUGGGCGGGUUUAGGGACACCUUUAUUGUCUGAUUGUUUUCCUGCGUAAUUAUUUCAAUCGCUGAAAUAUUGAUGAAUAGAAAGAAAUCAGCUUUCCAGACCCUGGGACGACUUCCAAUCCAACAGAAAGAUUCGUGGAGAACAAGGGGCACGCCAUGCUCUUCGUAGAAGAAGUUUUUAUAUCAGUUAGCUCGACAAAGGGUACGUUCUAAACAUCAUUUUCCGUCCUUAUGCAUGAGAUACAAAUUGCUAGUUUAGGGACGAAACUCAUAGGAAGAUGUAUAUAUUUAUAUGAUAAUGAAAGUAGUCUGGAUAAUUAUAUCAAAUCGUAGUGGAGUAGGAAAAUAAUUUGGAAUAGUUCAGCUGCUUGCAUUCAUAACGGUGUUAUGAACACUUGUUUGGGAUGGGAUUUAAAGGAUCACCUUUCAGGAAGCUAAUUUUACUCUGAAUUUGGGUGUGGAUUCUUGUUGAAGUGUUGCUGACAAGAUUGUUGAUGUGUUUUAGGUUUUUGUUUUAAUGGUGAAUGGUUUACUCUUUCCUCACCCGUUUAAUACAUUAAUCUAUUGAUACGGCCGGAAGCAACAUUAAUGGUUGUUUUGGCUCUUAAUACGUAUGAUUUUCAGAUGGACUGGCAGUAAAUUCACAAGAUGUGAGCGUAUCUACUUGGACAGCAACGAAGCUGGAAGUCUCAAAUCAUGGAAGAGAGCAGCAAGGUUUGAGUUGCGUUAUUUUGAUGCCAGCAAUUCUCAAAUAGGAAUGUGUUUUGCAACAAUCAUUCAAAGUUCGCCACCUGCUUUGAAUGGGUAUGUUGCUUUUUCAGGUACCCGCUUUUUCAGUUUUCAUCUUUUUUCCAAAAUUCCAUUCCAUUUCUCAAAAUUCGAUCUGAUCGACUCGGAAUCCUUAAUGGCAGAGAGGGUGGUAGAUAUCGGGGUGGUGACUACUGAGUAGAGUAUGUUUUGGUUAAAUAAAUUGUUUUGCAUUUGGCUAGCUGUCAGAUCCAAGAUUCAAGGUUGUAUGUAUGCAUCUUGUCCAUGCAUAUAGACAAAUAUCUUCAAGGCGGGAUAACAUUGCCCCUUGUCUAGUUUUUGGUUAAAAUAGCAUGAGAUUUUUAACCGUUAUUUGUUUUAGUAAAAAUUUUAUGGUGAAUAGAUUAGAAGGUGUUAACCAUAAAAUCUAAAAUUUCUGUAAGCCGGAGUCUCCAAGUAUUACUUAAAUUUCUUGGUCCUCAAGUAUUUUUGAAUUUUAGUUUAUACUGAAGUUAUCAUAUGUUUAUAAUUUGUUCUUUGAAUAACCUGAUGAGUGUCCUCAAAAAAGACUUGGUGAUUUAGUUUCUUCUUCUUAUUUGUUCUCUUUUUCUUUAUACUUUUAGGCUAGUCAACAAGAAAGAUCAACUUGUGUGUCUUCUUUGAUGCUACUACUAGCAUGAGUAUUCAUUGCAGCCAAAAUUAUAAGGGUUGGAGCUACUGGGCAUCAUCAACAUUCAGCAAAAGUAAAUUUUGAGAGUGGGCUUCUUAUUUGUAUAUGAGCAGUCUUGUUUUUUGUUCUUAAUUAUCCAUUCACUUCCAUCACUAUUNNNNNNNNNNNNNNNNNNNNNNNNNNNNNNNNNNNAAAUAUGCAUUACAUAAUUGCAAUAAUAUAUUACAUACUUUGGCUAAUCAAACCAAUAUCCCACUUUUAUUCCCCACCUCGAUUGUUAUAGUGCUAAUCAAACCAAUACCCCACUUUUAUUCUCCACCUCGAUUGUUAUAGUCGUUAUAGCCGGAAAGGAAGUUGGGGGUAAUAAUGACAAUAUCUAUCCAUUAUUUACGAAAACUCGGAGUUUUGAAGAAAACAUCAUCAACACCAUGUAUUUGAAAAAUGCACAUUUGAGAGGAAAUGUGGGCUCAGAGAAAAAGUGUUUUCGUAGAACACUGGCCAAUUAAAACUAAACAAACAAGUAUUUUUUUAUUACUCUGAAUUUUUACAAUACUCUCCUAAUUUCCUCUAUAUCAAACGAGCCCCAAAUUUGGACAGAGGUUCUAAAAAUGUCGUUAAUCUUAUGUAUUAACAUAUUUCCUAUCAUGCAAACUUGACGUUAUGGACCCGAAUCCCAAUUGAAUUUUAAAGGAAAGGUUAGUUAAUGUAGGGGAGGUGAUUGGCCCGGUCCAAUAAAUACAACCCGGACAGCCCAGUCCAUACAGGAAUUGCGGGUCAAGAAAAUCUGACCAUAAGUCCGACUUGGGAAAGCCAAAUGAAACUGCAUUGUUAAACUUAAUGUUUGGGGAAUGGGUUAAUUUUAUUCCUGAUAUUUUUUAAUAUUUUUUAAUCUCAAUAUUUGGGGAAUUGGCCUAUUUUAUCCUUGAUAUUUUUCUAUAUUUUUUAGCCUAAUGUUUGAAAAAUUAACCGAUUUUACCCUUGACAUAUUUCUAUAUUUUUUAGCCUCAAUGUUUGGAAAAUUGACCGAGCAUUGUUCACGCAUGCCAGCUCUCUUCAGCUCUCCCUAUCAUUUCGGACAAAAAGUUGAAGUUGCUGAAACUUAAACGUCCAAAUAUGAAAUGGAGCUUGAUUCAAUCAACGAGAAUGUACUAGCAGCCUCGUUCCUCAUCGUUGCUCUAUCCAAAAUAAAGAAUUUGACAACUUUGAAACAAACCAAAGUGAGACCAAUACAAAGAGAAGGAAAUAAAUGUCGUCGUCUCUCCUCCGCAAAUGUUGCAAACUAAAUUUGUACAAUUAAUUAUGCGGAGAUUCUAUUAACUCUGAAAGAAUUCAUUACUUGGCGGAGAUCAUUCUCUUCUUCCACAAACACACUCUCCGGAGUCUGCAGUCUCAACUCAUAAAGACGGUUGUUAUCGACUCCAAGAACGGAGAGGUAACGCCGAUCCCAUUCAAGACGGACCACUCUGUCUUGUGGCAUAACUGCAAGCUCAUUGUUGCUGGCGAAGGACUUGAUGUUCACCUCAACUUGGUAAUACAGUUUUCCAUCUUCAGCAACUCUAGACGAAGUGGUAAGAAUAUUGGCUUCUCGACGGACUCCAAGUCUUGUGGACAUGAACUCGGUAAGGUACUGUUUGAGCACCUUGGCUCCGGCGUCUUGUGGCGAUCCUAACUCCUCGACGCUUUUAUACCUUGAGAUAUGACACACACACACAAGUGAUAGUGUACAUGAGAUUCUGAAGUGGUUCUAGGUUUUAAACAGGGAAUAUAUCAAGUCUUAUAUAUAGGUAUAGCCGAAUAGGGUAAUAGAUAGAGUGGUGCUACCUGGAGGACGAUGGGGAGGAGAACUCGACGGAGAUGUUUUCGUCGAGAAUGUAAGGGUCCCUGAAGAAGAUAUCUGCCCCAGCUCCGCGGACCUGAAUCCAAUUGGUAGGAUAAUUGAAGGAGUAACCGUCAAAGGUGUCGAUGUAUUCCCUGAAGGAAACAGCAGAUGGCAGGGCAAAUGCAGGGUGAGUUGAUUCAGGUAAGAAUGAAGUAGCGGUGGAGAGGAGGAUGAAGGACAAGGCGUCUCUCCUCGGAACUGCAAAAGCUUUAGUCUGAUUAAUCAAAAAGAAGAAGAUGAAGAGUGGAAAUGAGUUAAAUAGAUGGUAUAUCAUUAUUCCAAUGCCAAGUGGAACCUCUAGUACUGCUACUUUUUUAUUCCAUAAGCAGAAGACAUAAAAAUAAAAAAGGCAAGUACCAAGAAUUAACAAAUUACCUGGUAGAGAUGGUGCUUAGAAGCGGAGACGAUGGACGAAUGGGGACCAUGAUUUUGUGAUGGAAGAUGGAAUGUCGGAGGAGGAAGAUGAAAGGAGGAAGAGACUAGCGUCGCCAUUUUUGCAGAUAGAUAGUACUGGGAAGGGAGUGAGGAACUUGGGAAUGGAUAAAGAUAAGGUAUUGCUGUCCAGGCUGGCUGUGAAUGAAGGAAUUGCUGGUAAGAGCUGGGCUGCUUGGGUUACAGUUACUACACACGGUUGACUCACUACAUAGAUAGAUAGACCCGAAGGAAGCCCACAGUCCAUCAUAUUCCUAGACCCAAUGAAUGCCGUUUGGGCUACCGAGUCGAGUUAACAAACCAUAUUUGGCGAACAAGAAAUGAGCGGAUCUUGCGAGUUCUGGUGAAUUGAAUUGUCGACCUGGCUGGUGUGUGAGGUUGUACCAGUUACCAGGCAGGAAGCCAUCUUUCUUUCUACCAACAUUAAACUUCUUCUCAUCCAAGGCCCAAGGGUACCCUUAAUUAACUAAAGAUUUUUCCCUUGAAAGAAAUAAUAUUUAACUUAAGAUUCCUAUUGUGGUCUGUGGAUGCAUUUUCUUUCUUACCCUCAAACCCAACCAUUGUCCUUUGGGUAAACCUGACCACUGUCCUUGCAUAGAUAGAGAGCACACUCCAUCGCCUUUACCUUUCCUUCGUUUUGAGAAAUUUUGGACUAGGUGACACAUUCCGGUCCCCGUCUUUUCCCUCUCCGUUCAUCUCCCGCCAAAAACCGGGAACCACCAACAAGCUUUUUCUGUCCCUUCAACUGCAAUGUCCAAAGCUUCUUAUUCAACGAUCCCCCUUUUCAAACAGGGCGAACCAGUCGAGAUCAGCUCAGACGACCCUGGUUUCCGCGGAUCCUGGUUUUCUGGCACCGUCAUCCGUAGAAACAAGGAGAACCCUAACCAGUACAUAGUUCAGUACAACAAGCUCUUCGAGGACGAAUCUGGCCGGAUCCCAUUGCAAGAAACCCUUCACUGGGUCCAAUUGCGGCCUCCGCCGCCGGCUGACAUGAAGAAGGUCAAGUUCAAGUUUAGCGACGAAGUGGAGGCCUUCCAUAGAGAUGGCUGGUGGGAAGGGGUUAUUACUGAAGAGCUGGCCGACGGGAAGUUCGCGGUGUUCUUCAGGAGCUCCAAGGAGCAGAUUGUGUUUGGUGACAAGGACUUGAGGUUGCAGAGGGAAUGGGUUCGUGGGAAGUGGAACCCGCCUUUCGAGCAACACCUGGUAGAGAAAGAUGUGAGAUUUCUGUCCCUAUUUUCAGUCAGUUGCUCUUCGUAUUUCGCUCCCUGGUCGGCUCCUAUUCUUUGCUUUAACCAUUUCUCGUUGCGCGCAAAAAGGACAUUCAUUUGGGCUCACUUUGCAAUUUGCAUAGCACGCUUAUUGUCAGCUUUUUAAGAUUUGUCAAAUGGAAAUGUCCCUGUGAACGGAUGUUGCUUUUGUCACUUUAUUGAACCUCUUUGAAUCCCAUCUAAAGCAGAGAUCAGCAGUGAAGACCUCCAAAGUUGUUAAAGAGGAGAAGCUAUCUGAUGCAAGGACCAACCAAGAGCAUGUUGCGAGGAAGACACCCAAAAAAGCUUUCAAGUUCAGCCUGGGAAUGCAAGUUGAGGUUACUACUGAGGAAGAAGGUUUUGAAGGUGCUUGGUUUUCUGCAAUCAUCGUGGAAGCUUCUGGAGAGGAUAAAUACCUUGUUCAGUACUUGACCUUAAGAAAUGAGGAUGACACUGAAUUUCUGAGUGAACACAUACAUGCUUGGCACAUAAGACCGUCUCCACCAGAGACCGUUGUCGAUUCAUUCAAAUUAAUGGAAGAAGUCGAUGCUUAUUAUAACGAGUGUUGGUGGGUGGGCGUGAUUGUGAAGGUUUUGUCCGACAGCAAGUACCUCGUCUACUUCAGGGACACUGAAGAGGAAUUAGUGUUCACGCAGGGUGACUUAAGGCAACAUCAAGACUGGAUAGGUGGCAAAUGGAUCAUCCCUUCGCAGGUAUGAAUUGAAUGCUUCAACUACUCUACUUUGACAGAAUGGUUGUUUCCUUAUUACGAACAACUUGUGAAACAUGUCUACCAAAUGUUGGCAUCUCGAUCAUGUUUUCCUUUCUUUUAAAACAGAUAGUAAAUGACUUAUGUAGGUGGAUAUUUUGAAAUGGCCAAUGAAAAAUACAAUUAAGUUGAUCUAUGGAUUCUCAGGAUUGAACUACUACGUUAAAAGGUCUGUCUCAAGGGGAACAGGAGAGAAAUUUAUCCAAUCAAACAUUCGAAGGAUUGAAAUUCUGUCCAUGUUGUAUGAUAAGAUGAAUUAAAAGUUUUGUGUUUUUAAGAAAGCAUCAAGUGGGCGAAGAGUUGGAAAUUGACUGAUAUUAUUUGCGACUUCCUUUCUCAGGUGCUGAAGCUGUGAGUUCAUUUCAAUGAGAUGUGCUAUAAAAUGAUCACAUCCAAGCAUAUUUCGUUGUACAUAAGUCGCCGUUGAUGGGAUCCAUUUCAAUGAGAUGUGCUGGGUGAUUGAACAGUCUCGUACAGAAGUCUCUUCCAUUUCAUUCAGGGAGCAUCCAACCAUGUUUGUAUUUGUGUAUUCGUGGCUGGAUUCUUUUCUGUCACACAAUUCUCCGUUAGCAUGUAUGGCUCUUUGUUACGUCUCCUCUUUUUGGUUUUUGGUUUUUGUACUGAACAGCAGUAGUUGUGUCAUGCAGUUUGGAUCGUUUGGUAUGUGCGACUAUGUACGUAUUCUCGAUGUCCAUCUUCUUUCUGUAGACAUGGUUGGUAAACACGGAUUCCAAUUGUAUAUUAGAAUAUUGCUGGAGAUAUUGACGGAUACAGUGUUUGAUGACCCUUAUGGUGGUGAACGGUUGAUCGUGAUCAUUCCAGGACGGCUAGCAUCUGAAUUUUGUAUCUCAGAGAGCGAUCCCGUGAUUGCUGGGUGCAUGAAACCAGAAACCCCAUUGUCGGAAUAACACAAAAAGCUAGAAAGUGAAGAUGAUUCAUUCAUCAGGAAAUAAGUAGCAUUUAGAAAUUGGGUGGAUAUACUGCUACAAUACAUAAUAGCAGCUGUAUACAUGAUAAUGGUGGGGUUCAAAGUUAUUUGUUACACUUCCGCAUUGGCUCCUUGUUCGACCUGAAAAACAGAUACAGGGCAGGUCCUGUAAAGGCCAGUUGGGGUCUUGAAGGUAAUUUUCCCAGUGGAUGAACUUCUACACAAACAAGAUGAGGUAAGCAUAAUCUAGCUCCUUCUUUGGGAAAUAGGGGGUUUAUGUGGAAUCACAAGUGCUGGGGUUUCCAAGGUUUUAUUUGAAAACAAUGAAUGAAAUCCUCAUAAUAGUCAAAUAUUUAUAUGCUCUCGGAGAAUUGAUGAUUCCGAGUUUUCUUACAGAUACAGUAUAUCAAGCAUUUCACCUUCACUAGUCGAUCCCUUGGUAUGAGAUUACUAACCUGGGCUGUCCCAUUACUUGUCAUGCUCUAAAGAUUUUACCCAUUGUCCCAUUACUUGUCAUGCUCAAAAGAUUUUACCCAUUUGGACUACUGAUCUACAGAUGGGAGCUGAAAAGAGCUUUGAAAUACCAUGCAAAGCAUUUGAUCAUGAAGCCAGGGCUGCACUGGAGGUACGAGUUGUUACUGCCUUUAUACUUUAGCUCUCAAAGCCAGGGGUUUAUCUUAUCUCAGUUGACUGUUGUGGUUCUUCCUUGUUUCAAGGUGACCGACUGACCGGUUGAGCUGAGAAGGAAGGAUGACAGACGAGCCUUCAUCAAAUGAUCAUCAAGGAUAUGUUUUGAGAUGUCCCACUCAAACCAUUUUGAAUUUAGCAUCCGUGUUUCAUUUCCUUUUGGCAAAUUAAGUACAGAAGGAAUUCUUUCAUCUAUGGUUCUGCUGUUUGCCCCCGAAUUUUGUUUGUACAUAUUCUAUAUUCAUGUACAACACACUGUGAUGGGACAAGUCGCUAGUCAGUUGUAAAAUAAGGAAUGUUAGCAGAACGUGGCACAUGAUGCUCAACGGAGGAAAAGUUGUUUGAUGUAUCCUUUGUUGUUAAGGUUGCAUUAGCUGAAAACAACAGCCAUUUACAUUUGCUCGUAGGAUGUUAAUUGCAUCUAAUAAAGCUGAAAUUGCUCUUCUUCGCCUCUUUGUGUCUAUAAUUAGUGAUUGUUAGAAUUUAAUUAUCAUAAUGUGUCUUAUUAGAUGAUUUUUUUUACUCUGUAAUUAGUGAUUGUUAGAAUCAAAUAAUCAUAUGAUGUGAGUAAGACACUAUCACUAGAUUGGUCUUAAUUUUUUCUUAAAUGGUCUUUAAAUUUAAUUAUUUAAUUAUUAUCCUCUAAGCAUGCAUUUAAAUUUAUUUAAACGUUGUUAAUAUAGUAAUACGCAUUGUUAUUCCAUCAAAUUUGGAAUAAAUAGUUAAAAUACUCGUACUGGAAAAAUAACAAAUUGGGAGAGGGAGUUAGCUUUGCCCUUGAUAACACCAACGCCGUUCCUCAUCUCCCUCCACAUAACACCAUCCUUCAGAAACCCAACUGGCCUGCUACCACCGAAACCCAUAGCCUUGCCUACUACCUACCUUUACCGAUUAUCUCGAACUGUGAUUCACCGGACUCCGGAGAAGAAAAGAAACCUCAAUGGCGAACAGUAACCUUCCUCGGAGAAUAAUCAAGGUUGGGAAGUAUUUGAUUUUUCUUUCACCGGAUCGAAUCUCAGUCUGCUGCUUUUUCCCUGGAAGGAUUUCUAGCUUUUGAUUCUGAUUUCAUUCCUGGGUUCGGAUUUUCUUUGUGUAGGAAACGCAGCGGCUGCUCAGUGAACCAGGUGUUCUUUCUUCAUUUUCUCCCUUUUCCCUUCUUUGUUGGAGCAAUCUGAUUGUGCCUGUAUGUAUUUUCUUUCUUCCGAUGACUGUCCGCAGUUAUGGUAAUGUAGUGAUCUCUUGGGUUAUAUAUCAGUCGAUCGAUUGGUAAACUAGAACCGUGAGAUAGAUGUCUAGGUCAGGAAAUGGGUUCGGGCGUGAUAUUGACCGAUCUACCAAAUUGGACUUACUUCGACCGUGCUUAAUUCCCUGUCAUAUAGUUCUUCUGAUUACGAGAAGCAGUAGCUGUGGACUAGUCAAUCGUGAGCACUCGUUUUGAAGUGGUGGAAAUGAUAGUGGUUGAUUUCUUCUAGGGUGCAUUAACACUCUUUUAUUUGAUCCUACUGUGCUUAAUUCGUUGUCAUAUAACUGUGUUAAGUCCUUGUCAUGUGGUUCGUUUGAUUAUGAGAAGCAGUACGUGAGCAAUGGUUUUCAAGUGGUGGAAAUGAUAGUGGUUACUUUCUAGGAUGCAUUAACACUCUUUAUUUGAUCUUACGCUUUGUAAACCCUUCUCACUUUGUAGCAUUAUAUGUUCUAGUGACAUGGAUUCUUGAUUUUCUGGUUACAGCCCCUGGAAUUAGUGCUUCCCCUUCUGAAGAAAACAUGCGAUACUUCAAUGUUAUGAUUCUUGGUCCAACACAAUCACCUUAUGAAGGUUGGUGUUUGAACCCUUGUCCCUGAAUACGAUCGUAUAUUAUUGACAGUUGGGUUUAUAAUUGAGAUUCUUCUUCGGAUACCUCUCUUGCAUUUCUGUUUUGAUAUUAGGUGGUGUUUUUAAGUUGGAAUUGUUCUUGCCUGAAGAAUACCCAAUGGCACCUCCCAAGGUACUUCAAAUGUUGUUUUGAGUGAAUUUCAUAAAUCCUGUACGUUUAAUAUGGGAUAAAAGCUCUAAUCAAAUACAUGUUUACUCAUCAAUGAAGCCCUUUGAUUUGUGCUUUCUCCCCACUUAGUUAUGGAUGAAAUGAAUUGGCUUUUUAGUUAUCUGAUAAGCUGUUUAUGAUCAUGAUGAAUUACCAGUUAGUCUAGCUAGGUUGUUUUGUCUUUCUAUAUCUGUUGCUGCAUUGUGACUGAGUCCCAUUAAUUCCGUGGAACUAUAAGCUUGCUUAUCUUCUAUCACAUAAAAUGGGAUUGUGUAGACUUUGUUUUUGCUUCUGAACUUUAGCUCGUCGAUUUUCAAAACUUCUUGUCUGUUAUUGUGAUUUAUAUCUGUAGUUUGGUUUUCGAACAUCUACGUCUUGUGUGUAUUUAUCAGUUUGUGUUUACAUGCAACAGGUUCGCUUCUUGACAAAAAUUUAUCACCCUAACAUUGACAAGGUGUGCCCUCUCAAUCAUCCCCCCCUCCACCCACUAUAUAUCCUAGUUUUUUAACUUAAUGGGAAAUACUUUUCUGCAGCUUGGAAGAAUUUGCCUUGAUAUUCUUAAAGAUAAAUGGAGCCCUGCACUCCAGAUCCGAACUGUUCUGCUAAGGUGACAUUUGGAUUCUACCAUUUAUUUAGUCUCUCAAUUGACUUUGUUUCCAAACAAGUGGAUGGUAUGAAUGGCACUGGAUAUUUAUUCCUAUGUUUGAAUUUUGUGAUCCUAACUGUUCUGCUAAGGUGACAUUUGGAUUCUACCAUUUAUUCAGUCUCUCAAUUGACUAUGUUUCCAAACAAGUGGAUGGUAUGAAUGGCACUGGAUAUUUAUUCCUAUGUUUGAAUUUUGUGAUCCGAACUGUUCUGCUAAGGUGACAUUUGGAUUCUACCAUUUAUUCAGUCUCUCAAUUGACUAUGUUUCCAAACAAGUGGAUGGUAUGAAUGGUACUGGAUACUUAUUCCUAUGUUUGAAUUUUGUGAUUCAGUAUCCAAGCUCUCUGUGACAUUUGGAUUCUACCAUUUAUUCAGUCUCUCAAUUGACUAUGUUUCCAAACAAGUGGAUGGUAUGAAUGGUACUGGAUACUUAUUCCUAUGUUUGAAUUUUGUGAUUCAGUAUCCAAGCUCUCUUGAGCGCACCAAAUCCUGAUGAUCCUCUGUCUGAGAACAUUGCAAAGCACUGGAAGUCAAAUGAAGCUGAAGCUGUUGAAACAGGUAAUUGCUAGUCAUUGCAUGUUUGCUGAAGCACAUCCUAUAUCGAGUUUGCGAAGAAAAUAGUUAGAUGAGUUGAUAUACCCCCUUUAAUAUCUGAAAGCGCAUAUUGUCAUACUAGAAUCUGGAAUGCCUACUGGAUGGUAUUUUUUGGAUAAAUCAAGAAUGCACAGAGGGAAAUGAAAAUCAUGUACCCAAUUGUACUUAUCUGACUGAAUCAAACCAAACAUUCACUUCAAAUUCUUUUGCAGCUAAAGAAUGGAGCCGCUUAUAUGCAAGUGGUGCAUGAGGAGGCAAGCUGGAGCGUGCAAAUGAUCUAUGUUGUUACAUUGGUUAAGUGAAUUUGAAAUGUAAUGUCUGUUGGUUCCUAAAUGGGAAAUAUGCUUCAAGGUAUGCUCUGAACACUAUCAGAUACAUGAAUCCUUAAAGAGUCUCGAGUCUUGAAUCCAACAGUACUCUCUUUUCAGUAUACUGGACAUGUAUCAUACAGCGUCAUUGGAAGCUUCCCUUUAAUUGACUUGCGAUAAUGACUAAUUGAAUUGUGAAUGCCUUCAGAGCGUGAGGAAAUUCUUACUUUUUACUUGUUAGACAUUCUUAGGCAGCUAUUAGUUUGUUAUCUUUAUUCGUGCCAUAACAGAAUACUUUCAACUACAUACCAAACAGAUGAGGGCUAAAUUACGUCUAGUCAACUAGAAAAAACUGUAACUGUAAGGUAUCAUCGUUCGACGACGAUCAGAGUGUACCCGGAAACCAAAUGGAAAAACAGGCUCCACUCUCCGUUGAACUGAAUCAUUAGCCCGAUUUUAAUUUUGGACUGCAUGAUUAGAGGAGGAAAUCUGAUGUGAUACUAGAUACAAACAUACACAUCUGAUUUAUCCUAUUUUGGAUUGCACUAGCCUUCUUGCGGGCCAACAAAAAAUAUUUUUCCAAGUUUUGAGGAUUGCAUGAUCCAUGCAUUUGUCGAUUUAUCCUCAUACUUGAAGUAAAUUAUCCUCAUUCUUUUGGUAAAUAAUCCUCACAGCUAGUAUGAAACGGCUGUCAUGGAAUGAACAAAGUAAAAAAUCAGAUAUUAUCAUGCUAUUUAAAUGGAUCAGUAUCACAACCCAAACUAACAUCCGCAUACAAAGUACAAAUUAUAAGAGAAAGUUCUGAAAAAAGUAACGCUUCCUUCAAUGUCAUAACUCAUAGUAAUUACUAAUUACCCACCUCAUACCUUCCCUUUCAAUACAAUCUUUCAUUCACAGUACUCCUCGCAUAUAAAACCCACAUUCAUCCUGCCAAUAUAUUCAGAUCAAGCAAAAAAGAAAACCAUGGCAGCGGAUCCAAAGCAAGGAGCUAUAGUGAAGACGGGCCACGGAGAAGUAAUGAAGAUGGUGGUAUUGCUCCUUGGAGAGUUCGAGCUCCCCGAAGGGCUGCUGCCGUUGGAAGCUGCAAUAGAGACAGGGUACAAUAAGGAAACUGGCUAUUUUUGGAUCGUGCGGAAAAAGGCAGUAACGCAUGAGUUCAAGAUAAUUAGCAAGCAGGUCAGUUACGACUCAGAGAUUACUGGCUACAUUGAGAAAAAGAAGGUGAAAACGCUAAAAGAUGUCAAGGCCAAGGGGGUUGUUAUUGUGGCCUCCGGUGAACGAGAUCAUUGCAGAUGAUCCCCCACCGAAAAGGGACCAUUGGUGGUAUUACCAAGACUUUCCCCGUCGAGGCAUUUGCCGCCAGCCAGUUGCUUAGUAUAAUGUUCACGUUCAUUUUGCUACUUGUUUGCCUACAUAUCUAAUUUACUGUUGUUCUCCAGCAUCUUGGUAUACUUAAAUUAGUAUCUUGUAGGCCAUGUUUCUUCUUUAAUUGUCCCGCUACUGGAAAUAAAAUGGAUGGUGUUUGACCAAAAAUUGGAUUUUUACCCUGACCACAUGGGUAUUUAAUAGUUAGCUGGGUUAAUAGUUAGCUUAGCAUAAUAGGGAAUUAAUGGUGGUUUGUUGAUAUUACCAAUUGCAAGCUACAAAGAGAACAUGGAUCAACUCACUUUAAUAUAAAUGGGUGAUAAUCCACAUGGCAGGGUGUAAUUAGAACAAAAAUAAUGAAUUCACAAGGUGAUGUGUUUACGUCUUAACAAAAAAAAAAUUAGAUGCAGAAUUGACGAAAUGUAGUAAAUUUAAGAAUUGAUUACUAUUAAGUUAAAAACAUACAAUGACCAUGGGGUUACAAAAUGGCAAACCCAAUUGAUUGAUGACUACAAUGGAUAUUAAGCCUUCCUUUCAGACACAGCGAAAUCUUCUUUAUAUUUAAUUAUUUCUCCGAUCUCCACCGUCAAUUGAUCUGCAAGCUCCUACUCGGGGUGAGCUGGUAAUCUAACCCGACCCGGCUGCCCUGAUUAGUCCAUUUUGAUUUAUUCCUUCCUCGAAUCCUCGGAGAAGAACUGAAGAAGAGACUGGAGAACUUCUCCAAACCAACUUUCCAGUCCACGAGUCGAUUCUGAUCGUGAUUUAACGCUGCAAUUGAUCUCUUGUUCCUUCUAAUCAAGUCCAACCCAAAUCGCAUUGCAAUCUUCAUCCAGAUCCGUGGGAGUUCGCCUCGAUCAACAACAGAAGGUGGUAGGAGGCAAGAGGAGUCGUUGCAGAUCAUGCAGAAGGAAGAGGUGGCACCGCCUAAGGUUGGCGGCGGCGAAGAGUCUGACGAUGUUGAGCUUGUGCUCUUUAAAGUACCCGAAUGCUACGUGUACCUGGUGAGUGCUCGUUCGAUUGUUUUGAUUCAGUUCUCUGGUGUUUAAUCUGGUUGAGUUCUAGGAGUUUUGAUUCUGCUUAGCUAUUAGUCAUGCACUAUUAGAUGAUCAGUCGGUUGAAAGUAAACGCAAGUAUGUUUUCGGUAUUACUGCGGAUAAUAUCCUUACGGAUCAGCUGAUGCGAUUCUCAGACUUACGUGAACCGUGAAGCACACUUUGGCCAUAGAACUUGAAUUAUUUGUUAAAGCAUGCAGCGGAUUCGGUUGUGCACUGCUGAAGCUUGAAGGCUGUUUUGACGUUGGGGGACUGGGGUGGUCAUGGAUUCGGAUGACUGAUUGCUAGAGUUAAGCUGUUUGAAUUAUGAAGAGGAAGAAACGAAGAAGAUCAAACAAUGCAGUUAGCCAAAUCUUCUCCCCAUUUAGGCCGGAAUACAAUGCAGGAAGUUUGGAAAUUUGGCAUAGGGAUAGUUGGGAGUUUGCAACGACGUCUAUGUCUAUGAAAGAUUCAUUGAAGUUCUGAUUGCUUUAAAUUUUAGCUUUUGAAAUUGUAGAUGACUUUAGUUUAUGUUUUUGAAACAUAGCUUUUGGUUUAAUUUCGCAGAUACCUCCAAGGAAAACAGCUGGUUCUUACAGGUUCUUCCUCAUCUUGUCAUAAUACAUUUCCUGGAUUCUAAAUCUUUGGUAUUUUGUAGAACUGUCUUGAAACUAACUAAUCUCUCCCCACUUUAGUUUUUGUACUUUGACUGUUUUCCUUGAACUUUUCUUUCUCUGCAACGAGAGACAAACUUUUCAUCACUUGUUUCGCUUUAUUCAAGACUAAUAUAAGUGUCAUCUUUGCUUGGCAGAGCUGAUGAGUGGGACAUUAACAAAUGGGCAUGGGAAGGAUCUUUGAAAGUUGUUAGCAAAGAUGAAGAAUGCAUCAUCAGGCUGGAAGACAAAUGCACAGGUUUGAUUACCCUGGAAUUUUAGUCAAGGUGGAAGCCAUAUUAUUUGAUGCACUGUACUUCUGUUAAAGAGUUUUAUUUUUCCUGAGGCUAUUGCUUGUUUUUAAUUCCGAGAGCAGGCGAGCUAUAUGCAAGGGCAUUUCUGAGGAAAGGGGAACCUCAUCCUGUUGAACCUGUGAUUGAUAGUAGCAGGUUAAGCUUAGAUUCUUGCACGUGCUUAGCUCUAGAUGCAUGACUUUUCAUGCAUUCAAUGAAAAUCAAUCUGCUUAGUCUCCUAAUUUGCAUUUAUUUAACCAUCAUUUAUCAGAACUAUUUUGAGGAUUAUUUUGAACUAGUCUUCUCGUUCUGCAGAUAUUUUGUCCUUCGUAUAGAAGAAAACAUCGGUGAGCAUGUUAUAUCAAUUUCAUGUUUAGCUACAAAAUGGACAGUUUUAUGUUUGAGAAUCGAUUCUGUUGUUGGUGAUUGAUGGAUAAAGUUUCGUUUUUAUAUCCGAAGAAAGGAUUUGCAAAUUCUUCAACUCCGUGGUUUGUCCUCGGUUAUGAGGUGAUGCAUGUGAAUAUAAGAAUUAUGCAUGUUUGACAAAUGGUUGGACAAACUGUUGCCUAGUGCGGGUUUCCCGGUUCCUGAACUGUAUCUCAUUCAUCAUCUCAUCACCUAGAGUUCACCUCCUCGCAUUUUCGUGACGCAUGUAUAGUUGAUCCUCGUGCGUGAAAUGAGGCAAAAGGAGUUACGCAUCAUAUCAAAUUGAUUUUGCUGUCACUUUGACUUUCUUUUCCUCUUAGAUAAGUUUAUUCAGGUUGUUAAAUAAAUAGGAGAAUGGAAUGCAUCAAUUUAACAUGUACUUAUUAGCUGCGGGAAUCAUUGUGGGGCAGACGAUCUACACACUUACUUUAACAUCUCAGCCCCUUGCUAUUUUUCUAUGUGUAUAUGUUUACCGUCACCUGAAUGCUGCUUCUGGCGUUAUGCCGCUGUGUAUAAAUGUACUGAUCAGGCAAUGUGUUAUCCUUCUGAUCGUCUCUUGAUUGCUUUCUGACCUUUCCAGCGUUUACUUUCUAAGCACCAUUAAGAAUUAGCUCCUGCAUUUUUUUAAACUUUGUAUUCUAAUGAUUUUGGAUUUUACUGAGUGCGAUUUUACCUCCUCCGAUCCCUUAGUUAUGCCAUAAAAAAGGAUCCCUUAGUUAUGCUACAUUACUAAGAUUCCCGUAAUUUCACAGAGCAUUGCCUGCAUUACCACAUAUUGACCGAUUCUAGUUGUUUACUGCUUUGAAUCAUUCAUCAGAUAUCAUUAAGGGAAAAAAGUAAAAAUUUAUUCAUUUAUGAUUAUCGUACCUUUUUGUUGGUUGUUACGUUAUGGAGGCAAGUUGUUACUUUCAGGUGGAAGACUUCGGCAUGCAUUUAUUGGAGUCGGUUUCCGGGAGAGAACAGAAGCAUACGACUUUCAGGCAGCACUGCAUGACCACAUGAAGUAUGCUCAGAAUUGUCCCGUUUCCGUGAUAUUUAUCAAUUAGUGGCUAACGAAAUUCGGUCUAGUUUGAUCGCAGUUGCCGACUUAACAGCUUAUGAGAUGGAUAUCUCAACUCAUCCAGCUUAGGACGUUACUUAUUAUUUUUCAAUGCAUCUUUGCAAGAUACCUGGACAAGAAGAAAACUGCUGAGGAGAUGGAACAACAUUUUCAACACAGUUCAGGCCUCGGCUACAGUUUAAAAGAAGGGGAGACCCUUGUCCUCCAAAUUAAAAAUGUAAGCUCAAAAUUUGUUUCCUCGUCUACGGAAGUAAUAAAGACAAACACAUUUGUGGCCCUCGGAACACAUACUCGAAUUUAACAUUUCUACUUCUUUCGUAUGUCAGCCGAGAACCGGCCGUGGGAUCAAGUCUCAGUUCUGUGAACAAGGCGUGAACAAUCUAUCAUUGGAGGAGAAGAGUGGUAGUAACAAGGAGCCAAUCCUAAGUAUUAGACCUCCCCCACCCCCACCAGGUCCUCUUUCACCUACUGUAAGGUCCAUGGCUAUCACCCCGUCUAACUCUCCUCCAAAUCUCAGUCUGGAUGCAGCAUCAUCCAAGGCAGAGGCGAGCAACACCACAACAGAAAACAGUAAGGAACAUCAGUUUCAGGAGAAGGAGACAAGAGAUAACAUUGACGAUGAUUUUGGAGACUUUCAGGCAGCUGGAUAAGUCGGCUGAAGGAAUCAAAUCCUUUACAAACAGUGAACGUAAAAUCAUUGCAGUUUGCAGACAGAGACGUGUAAUGAUCAUAGCAUUAGAGAUAAAUCAGAUACCAGGGCUGUAACAGUGAUCUACCAAAAAGGAACAGUUAGCUGGUUUUGGGAACAGUUCCUGCUCCUGGUUAUUGUCAAGGCACGCAUGUCUUCUUUUGGUUGUUGUGGAAGUUGGUACCUGUUUGUUUGAUAAAGCAGAUAGAGUGUGUAUGUCACAAUCUGAUUUUUUAUUUCCUGCAGCUGAAUAAUAAUAUGAAAUUGUCGGGAAAAAAUAUCCAUGGUAGAGCGGUGUAGUUUAAGUCUAAAGAUCUCUACCAAAAAGGAAUGAAAAGGCCUUGCAGAGUGCUUCUAUACUAAAUGGGCUCAAACUUAAACCAAGGAGCUCUUUAUCAGCGUAUCCCAAACGGCCCAUCCAAAAAAUCCGAAUUACCCGCGCCGACUAAUACUCUUAUAAACCCUACACAACCUAGGAUCAUACACUUCCAGAUUGACCCUUGCUUCUCCCCUUUCUCCACUUUCGUAGCUACUCAUCUCCGCAACCAUGACGAAGACGGACAUGACGAAGAAGACAUCGGCCAAACUGAAGAAGAACAAGCACUACAGACCUGCUGUAAGUUGGCUACAAAAUAUCUUACUUGUCAUCGUUUCCCCGAGCAAGUUACUUACUGCUUCGUUUGUUUACAGGGGAAGAAGAAGGAAGGGAACGCUGCCCGGUACAUGACCCGGUCACAGGCUAUCAAGCAGCUCCAAGUUAAUCUCAGCGUCUUCAGGUACGUACUGCUCCCUGUCUGCGCUGUCAUUUGGAAUGUGUAGUGUCUUUGUAUUGUUCGUGGUUGGUUUUGAGUGGGAGGAUGACUAGGGAACGGUUAGCUGCUUGAAACUUGCAGUUGCAGUAUUUCCCAGCUGAGUUGCUCGACCUCUUUUUUUCUACUCGCAAUAUGAGAGAGGAUGCAGCAAUGAUGAUACUGUCUUGUACUCGUUGUCAUUGAGUUCUCGAAACGAUGAUUGUACAACUUCAAGCACUUUUUGAGCUGCAAUCCAUCUCUCAACGCCACACAUGCAUACUGCAUGCUAGUAUCGAUGGUUUAAUCAUUGAGUGAAGAGAAAGUCAGAUUACUCUUUCGAGGAAAAGGACUAUAAAAUGUUUAUCUAUAAUGACCAUUUUUUAGAUCAGUUGCUAGUCACGGUCUUUAAUGCAACCCUGAAACAUACAGGUUCCUUGGUCAACUUUUUAUGGGUGGAACUUAGGUAUAUAAUAUCUGUAUUCUAUUUCAAAAUCGAGCUUGACCUGUAGGCAGAAUGUGUGUUGUUAUGAAUAUCACGUUAUAGUAUAAUGGAAGAAUAAUUCCAUCAUAAUGCAAUUUUUAUCUGAUGUUUCUUUCUGGAAACAAAUUUGAAAUGCCUUGCUUGAGUUCCAAGCUCAACUAAUUGGUCAUGACUCAUGAGCAAAUGUAGAUGGAGCCUCUUUGUAGUGUUGUGCACAGAGUAUCUUGUUAUGUGUCUGUUCAUAGUUGCAAUGGACGAUCUCAGCUAGUGCUUAUAUUAUACUGUUUUACUAAGCGUUUAUGACUCCAGGUAAAGAUAUCUCUGGUAUUCAGAUUAGAGUGCUUACCUUUAUCUUUUAUUGUUCUUGAUUUAUAGGCAGCUGUGCAUUCUCAAAGGUGUGUUCCCUAGAGAACCGAAGAAGAAGGUUAGAGGGAAUAACCAAACGUACUACCAUGUCAAGGAUAUAAAUUUCAUCCAACAUGAACCCUUACUUGAGAAGUUGAGGGAAAAGAGGGCAUACGAAAGGAAAAUACAGAAGGCUUUGGCUAAGAAGAACGAAGAUCUAGCAACUCGUCUUCGAACUCGAGAGCCAACUUACACAUUGGACAAGCUCAUUCUAGAAAGGUUUGUUAAGCCCAUUCAUUUAUUAGAUUCCCUUUGAAAUGUUUGUUAAGCCCAUUCAUUUAUUAGAUUCCCUUUGAAACGUCUGAUAGAUAUAUUGAAAUUCACUGCAAGAUUAGUGUUUUCCUGGGGAUUCGUAGUCUGUCUAGAACAUUUUUUGUGAUAAAUUUGGCAAAACACCUAUUUAUGGUGAGAAUGUCUUGUGAUUCUGGUCAUUUAUAUUGCUUAUUAUAUUUCAUUUUUGGAUAAAAAAGUCCUAAGAGCACUUCUUCAUUCUCGGAAAUGUAGGUACCCAAAAUUUGUUGAUUCCCUCAGAGACUUGGAUGAUUGUCUUUCUAUGGUGCACCUGUUUGCAGCAUUACCUGCUGUAGAGAGGUUAAAAAUUGAUGUGGUGCGGGUUCACAGUUGUCGAAGGUAGUACACUUUAUUGUAUAAGUAUUGGUGAAAAGUUGUGUAAGCGAAAAUUGGAAUUUGGAUUUUUCAUAUUGAUUUUCAAUUGUUUCUGUAUCCUACUUUUGUUAGGUUGACUCAUGAGUGGCAAGCUUAUGUUGCUCGCUGUCAUAAAUUGCGAAAGGUUUUUGUAUCAGUAAAAGGCAUAUAUUAUCAGGUAAGAAACAUCAAGACCCCAGUCUAACUGAUGAAUACUGAUAUAAUUUAACUUUUUUGAUUAAUUAUUUUUACUAACAGCACAUCACCUUUAGAUUAUCUGUUAUAUUAUUCACAUUGUAGGCUGAGGUUGAAGGUCAGAAAAUUACAUGGCUGACCCUGCAUGCAAUGCAACAAGUUCUGCCUGAUGGUGUUAACUUCAGUGUUAUGCUGACGUUUUUGGAGUUCUAUGAGGUAAAUUCUGAUGCUCAGUUAACUUAUUUUCUGGCUAUAUAAUGUUCUUGGCUAUUUAGUAUUUACACGGUUGUAAUUUGGUUGCAGACCCUACUUGGCUUUGUUAAUUUUAAGCUCUACCAUUCCAUCAAUAUCAAGUAUCCACCAAUUCUUGAUACCAGACUAGAAGCUCUAGCAGCAGGUAUGUUCUUAUGUACACAUUUAUCUAGUUGGGAAGCAUUAUACAUUUUUUUAUGGCUGGAAAGUAUUAUACCUGCUUAAUUUCUUAACAUGCUUGUGCAUUCUACUUGAUUCUGCAGAUCUGUAUGCUCUCACACGGUAUAUUAAUAGAAACUCUAAGCAUGUUAUUGAAGAGCACAAAGAUUCUGAUUCCUCUAAAAUAGAGCCAACUGAAGGCCGAAAAGAGGGUACUCAAUUUGAAGAGUCUGAGUUAAGACUUUCGCAACUUCACCAUCAACUCCCAUCAAAUGAACCUGGAGCAUUGAUGCACCUCAUUGAAGAAGACACCGAAUAUGAUGAUGAUGAUCCAGAUACAAAGGAGUGUAGGAAGCUGUUCAAGAAUAUGAAGUUCUAUCUAAGCCGUGAGGUAGGUGACUGCUCAUUUCCUUGGCAAGUUAUUUGUGGGACUUCAGAUUAUCUGCUAUCAUCUAUAGAACCAGUUGUUCUGUCCAUUAUAUUGAUGUUGGUUUGCUGCAAGAUCACUCUGGUUAAUUAAGAUUUAUAAUUUUGCAACAUCCAAAUUGUGCUGCCGCUAUGCUGUCUGCUUGUUUGUCAACAUAAUCUUAAGUUUUUUUCGCUACACUGCUAAUCUAUCUUCCUAUCUGCGGUUUUAUUUGCUUGUGGAAAUAGUUCAUUAUUUCUUUGAAUACUGCAAAAGAAUCACAUCUGAUGAUAUAUCAUGUUCCUCUUGUUAUAACGGUGUUCUUUUGCUAUAGGGUAAUGAUGUUCUUUUGCUAACGGUAUUCCAUUUGCGGCCGUGCCCAAGUUUUUGGGUAUCUGGCAACUUUUGGUUUAGAGGCUCUGAGUGGCCCUGCCAAUGCCUUCCUGAAUGCUCUCAUAUACGUUGAGUCUUAAUUUUAAGUUGCUAUAACAGUAGCGGUAACGAAAACAAAUUGUUUGUGGUUCAGGUUCCUCGGGAGUCUUUGCUUUUUGUCAUUCCUGCUUUUGGUGGUGUUGUUUCAUGGGAAGGGGACGGAGCUCCGUUCACUAAAGACGACCAAAGCAUUACACAUCAGGUAGCCAUCUCUGAAAUUAUUUUACCCAUGCACAACACGGUGUAUGCCCUUGGGAUCCCACUUUAUGUGGUGAAUUUUGAUUCUAUGAUUGAAAGUUGAUUAUUUGUUGAUGUUUUCAGAUCGUGGAUAGGCCAACUCAAGAUCACAAGUUUUUCUCCCGGGAAUAUAUUCAACCUCAGUGGGUUUAUGAUUGUGUAAAUGCUAGGAUCAUACUACCAACUGAUAUCUACAUGGUGGGAAGGUGAUUUUCAUGUUGGGAAUUGAUUUCCAAACUCCCUUGAUUCAUGGCCUCUCUAUUGAGAGAAAAACACGACUGAUUCAUAAUAUGACUUUUUAUUUUGAUGCUUGUUCUGUUGGCAUCCUUCAAUGAUUGCACUCAUGUAACUGAAACUUGUGUUCGAGUUAGCAGUGGCAGUUAAUAGUUUGCCUUUAGAAUCUAACACGUGGCUUUCUUACUGUUGUCCUGCCAAUAGGGUUCCUCCUCCGCAUCUGUCUCCUUUUGUCGAUAACGAAGUGGAAGGGUAUAUCCCUGAUUACGCGGAGACCAUCAAACGUUUACAGGCUGCCGCCAAGAAUGAAGUCCUCCCCAUGCCAGGUGUGGGUAAGGAUGACUUAGAGGAUCCUCAGAUGUUGUUAGCUGAAGGAUAUCUUAGUCGAACCGAGGCUAUUGAAUCUGCCGAGAGAAAAGAAAAGGUGAAAAGUAAAAAUAAAAAUAAAAAUUGGUUAAUGUUUAAUUUGGCUGGGUUCCGCCUGUUACUUGACAUUUGCCUUUACUGCGUUUUGUAUGGUGGCAGUUGGCAACCUUGGAGAAGCAAUAUCAUGAAGAGCUUAAGAUUGAACUACAAGGCAGAUCUCUUUCGAAGAAAACUGAGGACAGCUCUGUUGAGGGCACCGAGGCCAAAGUAGAGUCUUGUCCUACCAUUGAACAGAUUGCUAAAGACACUGAUACCAUGUCGGAUAUGAUGAUGUCAAGAAAGAAAAGAGGCCUUUCUAAAGCAAUAGAGGUAACUUUAGGCAUUUCUUUUGGUUAGGAGAAAAACAUAUGUUUGUGGAUCAUUUGUGUUUUGUUUUGUUGCUUAGGCAAGAUUUAGUCUUUGAUUAAGGGGUUACAGAAUGCGUUGUGACGUGUGAUUUGCUUCUAUUCAGAUUGGUGAAGAACGGAAGAAAGCGAAAGUCAAUAAGCUCAAGGAGCGGAAGAAGAAACUGGCUGAGAGUUCUUCCUAGUCAAGAUUUUACAUGUUUGUGGAUCAUUUGUGUUUUGUUUUGUUGCUUAGGCAAGAUUUAGUCUUUGAUUAAGGGGUUACAGAAUGCGUUGUGACGUGUGAUUUGCUUCUAUUCAGAUUGGUGAAGAACGGAAGAAAGUCAAAGUCAAUAAGCUCAAGGAACGGAAGAAGAAACUGGCUGAGAGUUCUUCCUAGUCCAGAUUUUACAUGGUGAAGCUGUCAUUCUGCUCUAGUAUUGGUUAUCUGUCAAGUCUUGGUUUCCUCCUGGCUCAAAUUUUGUCUACAGUUGAACCAUUUUGACAGUUGAUGUUGUGCGAAAUACUGUAUGUUACUGUUUUUAUGAAAAAUAGAGCCUUGAACGACACACAUACCAUUUUUCAUGAAGGCCUUUUUUAGCCUGUCGCGUCAAAGUUUUGAUGGGCCUAACGCUCAUCGGGUG
rnacentral:lncRNA from 1 species